rnacentral:rRNA from 1 species
ACAGGUGCUGCGAUGGCUGUCGUCAGCUCGUGUCGUGAGAGUGUUCGGGUUAAGUCCCGUAACGAGCGCAACCCUUGUCCUUAGUUACCAGCACGUUAUGGUGGGCACUCUAAGGAGACUGCCGGUGGACAAACCGGAGGAAGGUGGGGAGUGACGUCAAGUCAUCAUGGCCCUUACGGCCUGGGCUACACACGUGCUACAAUGGUCGGUACAAAGGGUUGCCAAGCCGCGAGGUGGAGCUAAUCCCAUAAAACCGAUCGUAGUCCGGAUCGCAGUCUGCAACUCGACUGCGUGAAGUCGGAAUCGCUAGUAAUCGUGAAUCAGAAUGUCACGGUGAAUACGUUCCCGGGCCUU